rnacentral:rRNA from 1 species
CCUACGGGUGGCAGCAGUGAGGAAUAUUGGUCAAUGGACGAGAGUCUGAACCAGCCAAGUCGCGUGAGGGAUGACUGCCCUAUGGUUUGUAAACUUCUUUUAUAAAGGAAUAAAACGCGGCACGUGUCCCUUUUCGCAUGUACUUUAUGAAUAAGGAUCGGCUAACUCCGUGCCAGCAGCCGCGGUAAUACGGAGGAUCCGAGCGUUAUCCGGAUUUAUUGGGUUGAAAGGGAGCGUAGAUGGGUUGUUAAGUCAGUUGUGAAAGUUUGCGGCUCAACCGUAAAAUUGCAGUUGAUACUGGCAGCCUGGAGUACAGUAGAGGUAGGCGGAAUUCGUGGUGUAGCGGUGAAAUGCUUAGAUAUCACGAAGAACACCGAUUGCGAAGGCAGCCUGCUGGACUGUAACUGACGCUGAUGCGCGAAAGUGUGGGUAUCAAACAGGAUUAGAUACCCGAGUAGUC